rnacentral:rRNA from 1 species
UACGUAGGGUCCGAGCGUUGUCCGGAAUUACUGGGCGUAAAGGGCUCGUAGGUGGCCAACUAAGUCAGACGUGAAAUCCCUCGGCUUAACCGGGGAACUGCGUCUGAUACUGGAUGGCUUGAGUUCGGGAGAGGGAUGCGGAAUUCCAGGUGUAGCGGUGAAAUGCGUAGAUAUCUGGAGGAACACCGGUGGCGAAGGCGGCAUCCUGGACCGACACUGACGCUGAGGAGCGAAAGCCAGGGGAGCAAACGGG